rnacentral:rRNA from 1 species
GACGAACGCUGGCGGCGUGCUUAACACAUGCAAGUCGAACGGAAAGGCCCUGCUUUUGUGGGGUGCUCGAGUGGCGAACGGGUGAGUAACACGUGAGUAACCUGCCCUUGACUUUGGGAUAACUUCAGGAAACUGGGGCUAAUACCGGAUAGGAGCUCCUGCUGCAUGGUGGGGGUUGGAAAGUUUCGGCGGUUGGGGAUGGACUCGCGGCUUAUCAGCUUGUUGGUGGGGUAGUGGCUUACCAAGGCUUUGACGGGUAGCCGGCCUGAGAGGGUGACCGGCCACAUUGGGACUGAGAGACGGCCCAGACUCCUACGGGAGGCAGCAGUGGGGAAUAUUGCACAAUGGGAGGAAGCCUGAGGCAGCAACGCCGCGUGCGGGAUGACGGCCUUCGGGUUGUAAACCGCUUUCGCCUGUGACGAAGCGUGAGUGACGGUAAUGGGUAAAGAAGCACCGGCUAACUACGUG